AUAAUGGGUCAGCGACUUAUAUUCUGUAGCAAGGUUAACCGAAUAGGGGAGCCGAAGGGAAACCGAGUCUUAACUGGGCGUUAAGUUGCAGGGUAUAGACCCGAAACCCGGUGAUCUAGCCAUGGGCAGGUUGAAGGUUGGGUAACACUAACUGGAGGACCGAACCGACUAAUGUUGAAAAAUUAGCGGAUGACUUGUGGCUGGGGGUGAAAGGCCAAUCAAACCGGGAGAUAGCUGGUUCUCCCCGAAAGCUAUUUAGGUAGCGCCUCGUGAAUUCAUCUCCGGGGGUAGAGCACUGUUUCGGCAAGGGGGUCAUCCCGACUUACCAACCCGAUGCAAACUGCGAAUACCGGAGAAUGUUAUCACGGGAGACACACGGCGGGUGCUAACGUCCGUCGUGAAGAGGGAAACAACCCAGACCGCCAGCUAAGGUCCCAAAGUCAUGGUUAAGUGGGAAACGAUGUGGGAAGGCCCAGACAGCCAGGAUGUUGGCUUAGAAGCAGCCAUCAUUUAAAGAAAGCGUAAUAGCUCACUGGUCGAGUCGGCCUGCGCGGAAGAUGUAACGGGGCUAAACCAUGCACCGAAGCUGCGGCAGCGACGCUGAUGCGUUGUUGGGUAGGGGAGCGUUCUGUAAGCCUGUGAAGGUGUGCUGUGAGGCAUGCUGGAGGUAUCAGAAGUGCGAAUGCUGACAUAAGUAACGAUAAAGCGGGUGAAAAGCCCGCUCGCCGGAAGACCAAGGGUUCCUGUCCAACGUUAAUCGGGGCAGGGUGAGUCGACCCCUAAGGCGAGGCCGAAAGGCGUAGUCGAUGGGAAACAGGUUAAUAUUCCUGUACUUGGUGUUACUGCGAAGGGGGGACGGAGAAGGCUAUGUUGGCCGGGCGACGGUUGUCCCGGUUUAAGCGUGUAGGCUGGUUUUCCAGGCAAAUCCGGAAAAUCAAGGCUGAGGCGUGAUGACGAGGCACUACGGUGCUGAAGCAACAAAUGCCCUGCUUCCAGGAAAAGCCUCUAAGCAUCAGGUAACAUCAAAUCGUACCCCAAACCGACACAGGUGGUCAGGUAGAGAAUACCAAGGCGCUUGAGAGAACUCGGGUGAAGGAACUAGGCAAAAUGGUGCCGUAACUUCGGGAGAAGGCACGCUGAUAUGUAGGUGAAGUCCCUCGCGGAUGGAGCUGAAAUCAGUCGAAGAUACCAGCUGGCUGCAACUGUUUAUUAAAAACACAGCACUGUGCAAACACGAAAGUGGACGUAUACGGUGUGACGCCUGCCCGGUGCCGGAAGGUUAAUUGAUGGGGUCAGCGCAAGCGAAGCUCUUGAUCGAAGCCCCGGUAAACGGCGGCCGUAACUAUAACGGUCCUAAGGUAGCGAAAUUCCUUGUCGGGUAAGUUCCGACCUGCACGAAUGGCGUAAUGAUGGCCAGGCUGUCUCCACCCGAGACUCAGUGAAAUUGAACUCGCUGUGAAGAUGCAGUGUACCCGCGGCAAGACGGAAAGACCCCGUGAACCUUUACUAUAGCUUGACACUGAACAUUGAGCCUUGAUGUGUAGGAUAGGUGGGAGGCUUUGAAGUGUGGACGCCAGUCUGCAUGGAGCCGGCCUUGAAAUACCACCCUUUAAUGUUUGAUGUUCUAACGUUGACCCGUGAUCCGGGUUGCGGACAGUGUCUGGUGGGUAGUUUGACUGGGGCGGUCUCCUCCUAAAGAGUAACGGAGGAGCACGAAGGUUGGCUAAUCCUGGUCGGACAUCAGGAGGUUAGUGCAAUGGCAUAAGCCAGCUUGACUGCGAGCGUGACGGCGCGAGCAGGUGCGAAAGCAGGUCAUAGUGAUCCGGUGGUUCUGAAUGGAAGGGCCAUCGCUCAACGGAUAAAAGGUACUCCGGGGAUAACAGGCUGAUACCGCCCAAGAGUUCAUAUCGACGGCGGUGUUUGGCACCUCGAUGUCGGCUCAUCACAUCCUGGGGCUGAAGUAGGUCCCAAGGGUAUGGCUGUUCGCCAUUUAAAGUGGUACGCGAGCUGGGUUUAGAACGUCGUGAGACAGUUCGGUCCCUAUCUGCCGUGGGCGCUGGAGAACUGAGGGGGGCUGCUCCUAGUACGAGAGGACCGGAGUGGACGCAUCACUGGUGUUCGGGUUGUCAUGCCAAUGGCACUGCCCGGUAGCUAAAUGCGGAAGAGAUAAGUGCUGAAAGCAUCUAAGCACGAAACUUGCCCCGAGAUGAGUUCUCCCUGACUCCUUGAGAGUCCUGAAGGAACGUUGAAGACGACGACGUUGAUAGGCCGGGUGUGUAAGCGCAGCGAUGCGUUGAGCUAACCGGUACUAAUGAACCGUGAGGCUUAACCUUACAACGCCGAAGCUGUU
rnacentral:rRNA from 1 species